CCUACGGGAGGCAGCAGUGGGGAAUAUUGGACAAUGGGGGCAACCCUGAUCCAGCCAUGCCGCGUGUGUGAAGAAGGCCCUCGGGUUGUAAAGCACUUUCAGUGAGGAAGAACGCCUGGUAGUUAAUACCCAUCAGGAAAGACAUCACUCACAGAAGAAGCACCGGCUAACUCCGUGCCAGCAGCCGCGGUAAUACGGAGGGUGCGAGCGUUAAUCGGAAUUACUGGGCGUAAAGCGCGCGUAGGUGGCUUGAUAAGCCGGUUGUGAAAGCCCCGGGCUCAACCUGGGAACGGCAUCCGGAACUGUCAAGCUAGAGUGCAGGAGAGGAAGGUAGAAUUCCCGGUGUAGCGGUGAAAUGCGUAGAGAUCGGGAGGAAUACCAGUGGCGAAGGCGGCCUUCUGGACUGACACUGACACUGAGGUGCGAAAGCGUGGGUAGCAAACAGGAUUAGAUACCCCGGUAGUC
rnacentral:rRNA from 1 species